UACGUAGGGUGCUAGCGUUGUCCGGAUUUAUUGGGCGUAAAGAGCUUGUAGGCGGUUUGUCGCGUCUGCCGUGAAAGCCCAGGGCUUAACCCUGGGUCUGCGGUGGGUACGGGCAGACUAGAGUGUGGUAGGGGAGACUGGAAUUCCUGGUGUAGCGGUGAAAUGCGCAGAUAUCAGGAGGAACACCGAUGGCGAAGGCAGGUCUCUGGGCCACUACUGACGCUGAGAAGCGAAAGCAUGGGGAGCAAACAGG
rnacentral:rRNA from 1 species